rfam:Gossypium raimondii Chr10_contig_15, whole genome shotgun sequence.
AAUAGGAGAAUGACAAAAGAAUUUUCUCCUGAUUUUCAGCUUUUUCUUCUUAAAAAAAUUCAAAUCCAACUAAAACUACUAAAAAUCAAGAAGAAACAUCUGAUUUGUCAUUUUCCUAUU